GAUGAACGCUAGCGGCAGGCCUAAUACAUGCAAGUCGAACGGUAACAUGAGUAGCAAUACUUGAUGACGAGUGGCGCACGGGUGCGUAACACGUAUGUAAUCUUCCCACAACUGGGGGAUAGCCCGGAGAAAUCCGGAUUAAUACCCCAUAACACAACGAAGUGGCAUCACUUUGUUGUUAAAUCUCCGGAGGUUGUGGAUGAACAUGCGUCCGAUUAGCUAGUUGGCGGGGUAACGGCCCACCAAGGCAACGAUCGGUAGGGGUACUGAGAGGUUAAACCCCACACUGGAACUGAGACACGGUCCAGACUCCUACGGGAGGCAGCAGUAAGGAAUAUUGGACAAUGGAGG
rnacentral:rRNA from 1 species